AAUCCCUUAUCGAGGAUCAAUUGGAGGGCAAGUCAGGUGCCAGCAGCCGCGGUAAUUCCAGCUCCAAUAGCGUAUAUUAAAGUUGUUGCAGUUAAAAAGCUCGUAGUUGGAUUUGUGGUUUACGCAAGGCUUCCGUCCCUCUUGGGUUUCGGUGUUGCCUGGCGUUGCCAUCCUUGGGUGGAAUCUGUGUGGCAUUAGGUUGUCGUGCAGGGGAUGCCCAUCGUUUACUGUGAAAAAAUUAGAGUGUUCAAAGCAGGCUUAUGCCGUUGAAUAUGUUAGCAUGGAAUAAUAAUAUAGGACCUUGGUACUAUUUUGUUGGUUUGCGCACCGAGGUAAUGAUUAACAGGGUCAACUGGGGAUAUUCGUGUUCCGCUGUCAGAGGUGAAAUUCUUGGAUUUUUGGAAGACGAACUACUGCGAAAGCAUUUAUCAAGGAUGUUUUCAUUAAUCAAGAACGAAAGUUAGGGGAUCGAAGAUGAUUAGAUACCAUCGUAGUCUUAACCAUAAACUAUGCCGACAAGGGAUUGGUGGAGUAUCGUUACGUCUCCAUCAGCACCUUAUGAGAAAUCAAAAGUCUUUGGGUUCCGGGGGGAGUAUGGUCGCAGGGCUGAAACUUAAAGAAAUUGACGGAAGGGCACCACCAGGAGUGGAGCCUGCGGCUUAAUUUGACCCAACACGGGAAAACUUACCAGGUCCAGACAUAGUGAGGAUUGACAGAUUGAGAGCUCUUUCUUGAUUCUAUGGGUGGUGGUGCAUGGCCGUUCUUAGUUGGUGGAGUGAUUUGUCUGGUUAAUUCCGUUAACGAACGAGACCCCUGCCUGCUAAAUAGCCCAGUGAGUGAUUUUUCACUGACUGUUGGCUUCUUAGAGGGACGUGCAUUCUAUUAGAUGCAGGAAGAUAGGGGCAAUAACAGGUCUGUGAUGCCCUUAGAUGUCCUGGGCCGCACGCGCGCUACACUGAUGAAUUCAACGAGUUUUUUCCUUGGCCGAGAGGCCUGGGCAAUCUUUUGAACGUUCAUCGUGAUAGGGAUAGAUUAUUGCAAUUAUUAAUCUUGAACGAGGAAUUCCUAGUAAACGCAGAUCAUCAAUCUGCAUUGAUUACGUCCCUGCCCUUUGUACACACCGCCCGUCGCACCUACCGAUUGAAUGGUCCGGUGAAGCCUCGGGAUUGUGGUCAGUUUGCUUUAUUGCGAGUUGAUUGCGAGGACUUGUCUAAACCUUAUCAUUUAGAGGAAGGUGAAGUC
rnacentral:rRNA from 1 species